rnacentral:rRNA from 1 species
CGGACCGGCGCACGGGUGAGUAACACGUAUGCAACCUGGCCGCCACAGGGGGAUAACCCGCGGAAACGCGGCCUAAUGCCCCGUGACGCCACCGGAGGGCAUCCUCCGGUGGCCAAAGGAGCGAUCCGGUGGCGGAUGGGCAUGCGGCGCAUUAGCUAGACGGCGGGGUGACGGCCCACCGUGGCGACGAUGCGUAGGGGUUCUGAGAGGAAGGCCCCCCACACUGGGACUGAGACACGGCCCAGACUCCUACGGGAGGCAGCAG